GGGGGGAGGCCGGAUCCUGGGCUGUGUCCCGGCGCCCUGUGCUCCGGAGCCUGCACUGUUGGAUUCGCGCUCCCGCCCCGCAGCCCCCU
rnacentral:pre_miRNA from 1 species